rnacentral:rRNA from 1 species
UACAGAGGGGGCAAGCGUUAUUCGGAAUUAUUGGGCGUAAAGGGCGCGUAGGCGGCCUGGCAAGUGGAAGGUGAAAUCCCUCGGCUUAACCGAGGAACUGCCCUCCAAACUGCUUGGCUUGAGUCCGGGAGAGGUGAGUGGAAUUCCCAGUGUAGCGGUGAAAUGCGUAGAUAUUGGGAGGAACACCAGUGGCGAAGGCGGCUCACUGGACCGGAACUGACGCUGAGGCGCGAAAGCGUGGGGAGCGAACAGGA